AAUGGGAUAGCUGGGUCAAAUAGUGGUUGCAUUCCAAGUUUUCCAAGGAAUCUCCAUACUGUUUUCCAUAUUGGCUACACCAAUUUGCAGUCCCAUCAGCAAU
rnacentral:pre_miRNA from 1 species